AUUGGACAGAGCCCAACUCAAGUCGGUGUUCAGGAGGAGAAGUGGAUAUCAUCUUCAUGAACCAGAAUUGUUCUAACCCUAGUUGCUAUUUCUGACUCGCAGAAUCAGAGAAGGUGCCUGCCUUGAUACGAAGAAACAGGAGUCAAGCAUGGAAAGAAGGAAGCUUCGGCACUUGCCUCCUUCAUCAAUAAGAGCAAGCUCGGGCAACAAUAAAUACCAGUCGCUGCAAUUUCUCAAGGUGCGCUUCUGAACCGGAGAAAACACAACAAAGCUGGGUGUGCUGUCUGAAGGGCAAUCGCACGACUGGAGCUGGAGCAUCAACGAUUGCUGCCUCGAUUGAGUUACGCUGGACGCUGAGUGAGUAGCUAGAGCCUAACGAAGUCGAUCGAGAGCCACGAAUCAAAGUUUAAGCCUCAAAGUGUUUAAGGUUGUAGAGUUCUCAAUUUUACGUCACUUGUUUUUAAACUCUUGCUACUAAGUGUAUUGACUGCUUAUUGUGCUAACUCAUUAAACUACUCUUGCAUGCUUUAGUUUAAAUUUAUUUUCUGGAACAAGAUUUCGUUUUGCAUGCUUAGAGCUAGUAAGGUUUAGUUAUAUACACCUACUCCUUAUUUAACUCUAAUGGUGAGAUUUCUCUCUUGUUGCAUCAAAAGCUUAAUAGUUAGUUUCUGUUGAAACAGAAUUCAUCACUUGCUGAAAGUAAGAAGGAUCAUACUACAACACUAACUAGUUCAUGAGCAAGCAAAAUAUAGAAUUGACUACUACUAAUAACAGUAGGAAGAACUUCAGUCAUUCUCUUUGCAAGUAUCUUAGUAAUACAUUUGUAAAGGACAUAUAAGAUGAAAUUGAGCGGUAUCUUUGAUCCUAGCAACCUGAGGCUUCUUAGGAAUGAGGGCCAGAACAGUAAAAUUUACCUGUUUAGGAAGCUUCCCUAAAACAAAGAAGGUUUUAAUAGCAUCGAUGACUUCAUUCCCCACCACAUUCCACAAGUGUUUGUAAAAAUUAGAUGAGACAAAGUUUUGGAUCUUUACAGCCAGGAAUUGAGAAAAUUGCUUCCUUUAUUUCAUCUGCUGUAACUCCAACACACAAAGCAUCAACCUGCACACUUGUAACUUUCUUGAUAAAAGUUUGUUUCCAAUGCUCCAUUGUCUCUUGCUCAAUCUCCUUAUUAAUUGUACCAAAACAAUUUAUAUAGUAGUUAACCGCUUCAACACAAAUUUCCUGAAUCCCAGUAACUUUGACACCAUCAGCUCUCUCAAGGUG
rnacentral:lncRNA from 1 species